AUUAUUUUAAAUUAAUAAUUAAAGGAAAAAAAAUUAUCUCAAGUUGUUUUUCAGGUCUGGGUAUUAUAAAUGUAGACCAUUUGGAUUAAACUUGCUUCUUGCAUGCUACUUUUUGUGUUGAAUUUGCAUUAACUUUGAAUAGGAAUCUGCAUAUGAAUCAGUUUGGAAAAAGAAGAUGAAGUGACUCCAACUUGGACUCAAAAAAGAGGUUAUCCCCGGCUGUCCUAUGCCCGUAAGCUUGCUGCUGCGAGCGUGUGGGUGCGACUUGCGUGCGCGAGCGGCAUUAGUUAUCCGCACAAAUGAGCCCCUUUGUGCAUUCUAUUAGGCAUAAGAUCUAUUCCCCCGCACGCCUGCAUGCUAUAUAUAUGUGUUGGUGUUCCCAAGGCAUGGUAUGGGCUGACUUUCUUCCUUUGGGUGCGAUCUUUUUGGGCUAUGGCCCACUUUGGCCACAUGGCCUUGAAGCCAUUUAGGGUUGGGCCAAAGUUAGGCCUUUCCUUUUGCCUUGUAAUUUCUUCAAGCCCAUUAAGCAUGUCGCGGCUGGCACCAUUUCUUACAGGACGUGUCUGGAGCAUACUUACACUUCAUACAAAAUUAAAUAACAAGAAUUAACUUUAAUUAACAUACAGAGUGCCCAGAAGUGUUACAUCUCUUGAAAUAUG
rnacentral:lncRNA from 1 species